rnacentral:rRNA from 1 species
GGUUAAGCGACUAAGCGUACACGGUGGAUGCCCUGGCAGUCAGAGGCGAUGAAGGACGUGCUAAUCUGCGAAAAGCGUCGGUAAGGUGAUAUGAACCGUUAUAACCGGCGAUGUCCGAAUGGGGAAACCCAGUGCAAUUCGUUGCACUAUCGUUAACUGAAUACAUAGGUUAACGAGGCGAACCGGGGGAACUGAAACAUCUAAGUACCCCGAGGAAAAGAAAUCAACCGAGAUUCCCCCAGUAGCGGCGAGCGAACGGGGAGCAGCCCAGAGUCUGAAUCAGCUUGUGUGUUAGUGGAACGGUCUGGAAAGUCCGACGGUACAGGGUGAUAGUCCCGUACACCAAAAUGCACAGGCUGUGAACUCGAAGAGUAGGGCGGGACACGUGGUAUCCUGUCUGAAUAUGGGGGGACCAUCCUCCAAGGCUAAAUACUCCUGACUGACCGAUAGUGAACCAGUACCGUGAGGGAAAGGCGAAAAGAACCCCGGCGAGGGGAGUGAAAAAGAACCUGAAACCGUGUACGUACAAGCAGUGGGAGCACCUUCGGGUGUGACUGCGUACCUUUUGUAUAAUGGGUCAGCGACUUAUAUUCUGUAGCAAGGUUAACCGUAUAGGGGAGCCGCAGGGAAACCGAGUCUUAACUGGGCGUUAAGUUGCAGGGUAUAGACCCGAAACCCGGUGAUCUAGCCAUGGGCAGGUUGAAGGUUGGGUAACACUAACUGGAGGACCGAACCGACUAAUGUUGAAAAAUUAGCGGAUGACUUGUGGCUGGGGGUGAAAGGCCAAUCAAACCGGGAGAUAGCUGGUUCUCCCCGAAAGCUAUUUAGGUAGCGCCUCGUGAACUCAUCUUCGGGGGUAGAGCACUGUUUCGGCUAGGGGGUCAUCCCGACUUACCAACCCGAUGCAAACUACGAAUACCGAAGAAUGUUAUCACGGGAGACACACGGCGGGUGCUAACGUCCGUCGUGAAGAGGGAAACAACCCAGACCGCCAGCUAAGGUCCCAAAGUCAUGGUUAAGUGGGAAACGAUGUGGGAAGGCACAGACAGCCAGGAUGUUGGCUUAGAAGCAGCCAUCAUUUAAAGAAAGCGUAAUAGCUCACUGGUCGAGUCGGCCUGCGCGGAAGAUGUAACGGGGCUAAACCAUGCACCGAAGCUGCGGCAGCGACACUAUGUGUUGUUGGGUAGGGGAGCGUUCUGUAAGCCUGCGAAGGUGACCUGUGAGGGUUGCUGGAGGUAUCAGAAGUGCGAAUGCUGACAUAAGUAACGAUAAAGCGGGUGAAAAGCCCGCUCGCCGGAAGACCAAGGGUUCCUGUCCAACGUUAAUCGGGGCAGGGUGAGUCGACCCCUAAGGCGAGGCCGAAAGGCGUAGUCGAUGGGAAACAGGUUAAUAUUCCUGUACUUGGUGUUACUGCGAAGGGGGGACGGAGAAGGCUAUGUUAGCCGGGCGACGGUUGUCCCGGUUUAAGCAUGUAGGCUGAUUAUCCAGGCAAAUCCGGAUAAUCAAGGCUGAGGUGUGAUGACGAGGCACUACGGUGCUGAAGUAACAAAUGCCCUGCUUCCAGGAAAAGCCUCUAAGCAUCAGGUAACAUCAAAUCGUACCCCAAACCGACACAGGUGGUCAGGUAGAGAAUACCAAGGCGCUUGAGAGAACUCGGGUGAAGGAACUAGGCAAAAUGGUGCCGUAACUUCGGGAGAAGGCACGCUGGUGUGUAGGUGAAGCCCCUGCGGGUGGAGCUGAGACCAGUCGAAGAUACCAGCUGGCUGCAACUGUUUAUUAAAAACACAGCACUGUGCAAACACGAAAGUGGACGUAUACGGUGUGACGCCUGCCCGGUGCCGGAAGGUUAAUUGAUGGGGUUAUCCGUAAGGAGAAGCUCUUGAUCGAAGCCCCGGUAAACGGCGGCCGUAACUAUAACGGUCCUAAGGUAGCGAAAUUCCUUGUCGGGUAAGUUCCGACCUGCACGAAUGGCGUAAUGAUGGCCAGGCUGUCUCCACCCGAGACUCAGUGAAAUUGAACUCGCUGUGAAGAUGCAGUGUACCCGCGGCAAGACGGAAAGACCCCGUGAACCUUUACUAUAGCUUGACACUGAACAUUGAGCCUUGAUGUGUAGGAUAGGUGGGAGGCUUUGAAGCGUGGACGCCAGUCUGCGUGGAGCCAACCUUGAAAUACCACCCUUUAAUGUUUGAUGUUCUAACGUUGGCCCCUAAUCGGGGUUGCGGACAGUGUCUGGUGGGUAGUUUGACUGGGGCGGUCUCCUCCCAAAGCGUAACGGAGGAGCACGAAGGUUAGCUAAUCCUGGUCGGACAUCAGGAGGUUAGUGCAAUGGCAUAAGCUAGCUUGACUGCGAGCGUGACGGCGCGAGCAGGUGCGAAAGCAGGUCAUAGUGAUCCGGUGGUUCUGAAUGGAAGGGCCAUCGCUCAACGGAUAAAAGGUACUCCGGGGAUAACAGGCUGAUACCGCCCAAGAGUUCAUAUCGACGGCGGUGUUUGGCACCUCGAUGUCGGCUCAUCACAUCCUGGGGCUGAAGUAGGUCCCAAGGGUAUGGCUGUUCGCCAUUUAAAGUGGUACGCGAGCUGGGUUUAGAACGUCGUGAGACAGUUCGGUCCCUAUCUGCCGUGGGCGCUGGAGAAUUGAGGGGGGCUGCUCCUAGUACGAGAGGACCGGAGUGGACGCAUCACUGGUGUUCGGGUUGUCAUGCCAAUGGCACUGCCCGGUAGCUAAAUGCGGAAGAGAUAAGUGCUGAAAGCAUCUAAGCACGAAACUUGCCCCGAGAUGAGUUCUCCCUGAGACUUUAAGUCUCCUGAAGGAACGUUGAAGACGACGACGUUGAUAGGCCGGGUGUGUAAGCGCAGCGAUGCGUUGAGCUAACCGGUACUAAUGAACCGUGAGGCUUAACCUU